GGUCGGCCCCCGUCCGCUGCGGAUUGGCCCAGAGCGCUGCCCAUCACGCACAUGUAAACACCUUGGCCCUCAGCCAUUCCUAUAAAACCAAUUACGGACCUCGGGGCUCCAGCAGUUUCCAGGCUCCCCUCGGCGGGGCUGAAUGAUCAAAACUGGUGCGCGGUUGGGUGGGAUGGGCAGGCGAGAAGCCCGUUUCCCUUGCCCCAGCCUGCGGGUCCCUCCCCUGAAAUGCGGUGUCAGAUGGUUACUCGUUGAUAUUUUGGAGAGGCCGCGGCGGCGGGCAGCGCAAAAUCCUUUCUGGGUUGAGUCUCUGCGAGCUGCCCGCUGCAGAUCUUACCAGGCUGGGGGCGCAGGAAGCGCGCGGACCCUGCGAGAGGGAGA